UGGUUGAAAAGGGUCCUUGGAGAGCAGUCCACUUAUCUGAAUAACAAAUAUAAAAUAAAUCCGCUUUGGCCGCAGCUGAACAUGCCAAGGAUACAGGAGAAGAGACAAGAUUUGAUUGCAAGUAAGUCAAGAUAUUUAUUCGCUGUUGCAGCACCGACACCGGGUAUCCACAAUUUGUGUUUUUUAACAAAAGCCAGAACAGAGUCAAAAUCCUCAAACAUCAAAGGACCAUCAGGGAGAAAAAUCUUCAAUCUUGCAGGAAACAAGAGGCGAGGCUUAAUCUGAACCUUUUUAGUUAUUUAA